rnacentral:rRNA from 1 species
GACGAACGCUGGCGGCGUGCUUAACACAUGCAAGUCGAGCGGAGCGGAGAACGGGUGAGUAACGCGUGAGUAACUGCCCCCCUCUCUGGGAUAACAGUUGGAAACGGCUGCUAAUACCGGAUAGUGGGGGAUGAAUCGCGUCCUAUCAGCUUGUUGGGGGGGUAGUGGCCUACCAAGGCGACGACGGGUAGCCGGCCUGGGAGGGCGACCGGCCACCAUGGGCUGAGAUACGGCCCAAACUCCUACGGGGGGCAGCAGGGGGGAAUAUGGCACAAUGGGGGAACCCCUGAUGCAGCAACGCCGCGUGCGGGAUGACGGCCUUCGGGUUGUAAACCGCUUUCAGCCAGGACGCGGUAGUGGCAGAAGAAGCACCGGCUAACUACGUGCCAGCAGCCGCGGUAAUAC